GGAUCAUUAGUGAAUAUAGGACGUCCAACUUAACUUGGAGUCCGAACUCUCACUUUCUAACCCUGUGCACUUGUUUGGGAUAGUAACUCUCGCAAGAGAGCGAACUCCUAUUCACUUAUAAACACAAAGUCUAUGAAUGUAUUAAAUUUUAUAACAAAAUAAAACUUUCAACAACGGAUCUCUUGGCUCUCGCAUCGAUGAAGAACGCAGCGAAAUGCGAUAAGUAAUGUGAAUUGCAGAAUUCAGUGAAUCAUCGAAUCUUUGAACGCACCUUGCGCUCCAUGGUAUUCCGUGGAGCAUGCCUGUUUGAGUGUCAUGAAUACUUCAACCCUCCUCUUUCUUAAUGAUUGAAGAGGUGUUUGGUUUCUGAGCGCUGCUGGCCUUUACGGUCUAGCUCGUUCGUAAUGCAUUAGCAUCCGCAAUCGAACUUCGGAUUGACUUGGCGUAAUAGACUAUUCGCUGAGGAAUUCUAGUCUUCGGAUUAGAGCCGGGUUGGGUUAAAGGAAGCUUCUAAUCAGAAUGUCUACAUUUUAAGAUUAGAUCUCAAAUCAGGUAGGACUACCCGCUGAAC
rnacentral:rRNA from 1 species